CCUACGGGCGGCAGCAGUCGAGAAUCAUUCACAAUGGGGGAAACCCUGAUGGUGCGACGCCGCGUGGGGGAAUGAAGGUCUUCGGAUUGUAAACCCCUGUCAUGUGGGAGCAAAUUAAAAAGAUAGUACCACAAGAGGAAGAGACGGCUAACUCUGUGCCAGCAGCCGCGGUAAUACAGAGGUCUCAAGCGUUGUUCGGAAUCACUGGGCGUAAAGCGUGCGUAGGCUGUUUCGUAAGUCGUGUGUGAAAGGCGCGGGCUCAACCCGCGGACGGCACAUGAUACUGCGAGACGAGAGGAAUGGAGGGGGAACCGGAAUUCUCGGUGUAGCAGUGAAAUGCGUAGAUAUCGGGAGGAACACUCGUGGCGAAGGCGGGUUCCUGGACAUUAACUGACGCUGAGGCACGAAGGCCAGGGGAGCGAAAGGGAUUAGAUACCCCUGUAGUC
rnacentral:rRNA from 1 species